AGUCCUGCUGGACACGGAGUGGGUGCCUGGUGAAUCAAUGAUGGUGUGAAUGACCGAGUAUGGGAGAGACGGUGCUGUGCAUCUCCAGGCAAGUCACCAUCCCUCCCUGCGCCAUUGUCAUCACCUUUUGAGUAAUUAUCCUAUGCCAAGGACUUGAAGUGGAUGACCUCAUGGAGUCCUCAUACAAUCUACUUUACAGGCGAGGACAGGAAGGUUCAGAGAAUCAGUGAAGGUAGGAAGGGAGCUACUCAGGAGAAUCGCUUGAACCCGGGAGGCAGAGGUUGUGGUGAGCCAAGAUCGUGCCAUCGCACUCCAGCCUGAGUAACAAGAGCAAAACUCUGUCUCAAAAAAAA
rnacentral:lncRNA from 10 species